GUGUUUAAUCCGACCGGCUUUACUGCGUUUCCGCUAAAGUUUGAUUAUUCAUCAACAAAGCCGUUUAUUUUUCUGUGCGUCACUCGUUACCGUAUCUAAACGUUUGUCAAGAGACUCUGGUUAUUCCACACACCCACACAGGUUUCGGGUGAUAAAUACUUAUAAUUUAUCCUUUUAUAGAUCAAUAUUUGAUCGGGUUUGGAUUCUUCCUACAGUGGCAGAGUGACGGGGGUUUAGCAUACAUAAAUAUAAAUGGCUGAAUUAGCUGCUGGCUGAAAGGGGAAAUCAUCGGCGGCAGGUUCGGCCCAUUGUGGUGGAGAAACAAACAGGAAGUCCAGAAACAAAAGCCUGUUGUUUUCUCCCACCUUCGUCUCUGGAUAAUCUCCACUGAUCCGUGUGAUUAGGCGAUGAUGAGGCGGCGAGGAAGGCGACAGACGCUCGGAGGAUCCGUGGAAAAAUGUCUGGCCUGCAUGCACAUUAGCCAUAUUUGGAGUUGCUUUUUGCAGUUUCAUCAAAGCAGAGUGGCUUCAAAUAGCUGAAACCACAAGUUUGUUCAAAGUGACAGAAUAACCGAAGAACAAAAGUUCCUAUUGGGUUUCCCGCUGUGACCUGUUGGAAAGUUUGUUUGACUUUUCCAGAAGUUCCCACGUCUAACUCGGCACAAACACGAGAUUCCACGAGCAACGGGAAACCUGGAGAGAGAGCGCAGCCAAAGCGGAGGAGAGGCGGCGAAGAAGACAAAGCCAAGUCUGUGCAGCGAG